UACGUAGGGGGCUAGCGUUGUCCGGAAUCAUUGGGCGUAAAGAGCGUGUAGGCGGUCCGGUAAGUCCGCUGUGAAAGUCGGGGGCUCAACCCUCGAAUGCCGGUGGAUACUGUCGGGCUAGAGUGCGGAAGAGGCGAGUGGAAUUCCUGGUGUAGCAGUGAAAUGCGUAGAUAUCAGGAGGAACACCGAUGGCGAAGGCAGGUCUCUGGGCUGACACUGACGCUCAUGCACGAAAGCGUGGGGAGCAAACAGG
rnacentral:rRNA from 1 species